UACGUAGGGUGCGAGCGUUAAUCGGAAUUACUGGGCGUAAAGCGUGCGCAGGCGGUGAUGUAAGACCGAUGUGAAAUCCCCGGGCUUAACCUGGGAACUGCAUUUGUGACUGGCGGGCUAGAGUAUGGCAGAGGGGGGUAGAAUUCCACGUGUAGCAGUGAAAUGCGUAGAGGUGUGGAGGAAUACCGAUGGCGAAGGCAGCCCCCUGGGCCAAUACUGACGCUCAUGCACGAAAGCGUGGGGAGCAAACAGG
rnacentral:rRNA from 1 species